AGGGGACAACAGUCACGACCGUCAAACACGUUUUGUUGUUGUGGGCGGGGGGAUUUCUUAAAGGGCCAGUGAGGGACGAGGCGGAGAAGUAGGGGGUCUAGGGACCUCAUCUUCUACCUCUAAGUAUUCCAGAAUCAGGUUAAAAGUCAAGGCUGAGGGCAGGUGCGGUGCUGGGAACCGAGAGGAGCGUGGCGGGAAGAGCCCCGGGCCACAGCAUUCAGGGAUGUCCCAGGAAGGGGGGGCCCGGCUGCCUGUGCCAGGCAGGCGGGAGAUGCCAGCCUGCGCCCUCGGCAAGAUUCCUCAAGGAGUUAACUCCCGAACCAUGUGCUGCUGGGGGAAACUCCAAGCCUCCCUCUUCUCGAUUCCGGCCCCCUGCACAACCUCUCUCCUAUCCUUAGCUCUUCCCCGGCGGAUUUUAGGAGUCCCUUCUCCCCUGGGACCCUUCUCUUCCCUUUCCAAGUCCGCUCCUCCCAUUAUCCGGAAGCGAGGGGGGAUGACGCCCCCCCCUUGACCUCUUCCUCCAGGAGCCGGGACCAAAAUAACCGGGCGGGAGGGGACACCUCGCAGGGUCAUCCUCCUCUAAGAUUCCAGGACCAUGAUCAUCCCUCUAUUGCUACUUCUUAGAUCAGCUUGUAAUGUCCAUCUCCCCCACCAGACUGCGUCUCCAGCAUCUCUGAGUCCCCAGGGCCUGGCCUGGGGCUUGCUACAUGGUGGGUGCUCAGUAACUGUGAGGUAAAUAAAUGAAUGAAUUAACC
rnacentral:lncRNA from 1 species